GUAGGGAAUAUUGCACAAUGGGCGCAAGCCUGAUGCAGCAACGCCGCGUGCACGAUGAAGGCCUUCGGGUUGUAAAGUGCUUUUCUGGAGGACGAGACAGGACGGUACUUCAGGAAUAAGGAUCGGCUAACUACGUGCCAGCAGCCGCGGUAACACGUAGGAUCCGAGCGUUAUCCGAAUUUACUGGGCGUAAAGCGCGUGUAGGCGGCAAGGUAAGUUGGACGUGAAAUCUCCUGGCUCAACUGGGAGGGGUCGUUCAAGACUGCCUGGCUAGAGGGCGGUAGAGGGAGGUGGAAUUCCCGGUGUAGUGGUGAAAUGCGUAGAUAUCGGGAGGAACACCAGUGGCGAAGGCGGCCUCCUGGGCCGCACCUGACGCUCAGACGCGAAAGCUAGGGGAGCGAACGGGAUUAGAAACCCGUGUAGUCC
rnacentral:rRNA from 1 species